CCCACCAUAGCUCAGUGGUAGAGCGAUCGGCUGUAGCCCGAUAGGUCCCCAGUUCAAAUCUGGGUGGUGGGA
rnacentral:tRNA from 1 species